AGGCCUAACACAUGCAAGUCGAACGGUAACAGGGAGCUUGCUCGCUGACGAGUGGCGAACGGGUGAGUAAUGUAUCGGAACGUACCAUUCAGUGGGGGAUAACGUAGCGAAAGUUACGCUAAUACCGCAUAUUCUGUGCGCAGGAAAGCAGGGGAUCGCAAGACCUUGCGCUGAUUGAGCGGCCGAUAUCAGAUUAGGUAGUUGGUGAGGUAAAAGCUCACCAAGGCGACGAUCUGUAGCGGGUCUGGGAGGAUGAUCCGCCACACUGGAACUGAGACACGGUCCAGACUCCUACGGGAGGCAGCAGUAGGGAAUUUUGGGCAAUGGGGGCAACCCUGAUCCAGCCAUGCCGCGUGAGUGAAGAAGGCCUUCGGGUUGUAAAGCUCUUUCAGCCGGGAAGAAAAUGCAUGGGUUAAUACCCUGUGCAGAUGACGGUACCGGAAUAAGAAGCACCGGCUAACUACGUGCCAGCAGCCGCGGUAAUACGUAGGGUGCGAGCGUUAAUCGGAAUUACUGGGCNUAAAGCGUGCGCAGGCGGUUUUGUAAGACAGGCGUGAAAUCUCCGGGCUUAACCUGGGAACUGCGUUUGUGACUGCAAGGCUAGAGUACGGCAGAGGGGGGGUGGAAUUCCACGUGUAGCAGUGAAAUGCGUAGAGAUGUGGAGGAACACCAAUGGCGAAGGCAGCCCCCUGGGUCGAUACUGACGCUCAUGCACGAAAGCGUGAGUAGCAAACAGGAUUAGAUACCCUGGUAGUCCACGCCCUAAACGAUGUCAACUAGGUGUUGGGAGGGUAAAACCUUUUAGUACCGUAAGUAACGCGAGAAGUUGACCGCCUGGGGAGUACGGCCGCAAGGUUAAAACUCAAAGGAAUUGACGGGGACCGGCACAAGCGGUGGAUGAUGUGGAUUAAUUCGAUGCAACGCGAAAAACCUUACCUACCCUUGACAUGUCAGGAACUUUCCAGAGAUGGAUUGGUGCCCGAAAGGGAGCCUGAACACAGGUGCUGCAUGGCUGUCGUCAGCUCGUGUCGUGAGAUGUUGGGUUAAGUCCCGCAACGAGCGCAACCCUUGUCGUUAAUUGCCAUCAUUUAGUUGGGCACUUUAACGAGACUGCCGGUGACAAACCGGAGGAAGGUGGGGAUGACGUCAAGUCCCCAUGGCCCUUAUGGGUAGGGCUUCACACGUCAUACAAUGGUCGGUACAAAGGGUCGCCAACCCGCGAGGGGGAGCCAAUCCCAUAAAGCCGAUCGUAGUCCGGAUUGUAGGCUGCAACUCGCCUGCAUGAAGUCGGAAUCGCUAGUAAUCGUGGAUCAGCAUGUCACGGUGAAUACGUUCCCGGGUCUUGUACACACCGCCCGUC
rnacentral:rRNA from 1 species